CGGGCGUAGCAAUACGUCAGCGGCAGACGGGUGAGUAACGCGUGGGAACGUACCUUUUGGUUCGGAACAACACAGGGAAACUUGUGCUAAUACCGGAUAAGCCCUUACGGGGAAAGAUUUAUCGCCGAAAGAUCGGCCCGCGUCUGAUUAGCUAGUUGGUGAGGUAAUGGCUCACCAAGGCGACGAUCAGUAGCUGGUCUGAGAGGAUGAUCAGCCACAUUGGGACUGAGACACGGCCCAAACUCCUACGGGAGGCAGCAGUGGGGAAUAUUGGACAAUGGGGGCAACCCUGAUCCAGCCAUGCCGCGUGAGUGAUGAAGGCCCUAGGGUUGUAAAGCUCUUUUGUGCGGGAAGAUAAUGACGGUACCGCAAGAAUAAGCCCCGGCUAACUUCGUGCCAGCAGCCGCGGUAAUACGAAGGGGGCUAGCGUUGCUCGGAAUCACUGGGCGUAAAGGGUGCGUAGGCGGGUCUUUAAGUCAGGGGUGAAAUCCUGGAGCUCAACUCCAGAACUGCCUUUGAUACUG
rnacentral:rRNA from 1 species